GUGCAUCGAACUGCUGGCUCCCCAUCCGCUUCAGUCUUGCUCCAAGUGAAGCUUCUUCCUUGCGGGUGCGUAUGGUAUCCUGUGUUGCUUACCCAUGAAAUGGAAUUCGUUGGUUUUGUUAUGUUGUUCCGUCAUAAGCCCUUUGGGGUGUGGGAUGGACAUGAGGCGGGCUCUGUAUUCGUGAUGUGUCAAGCGUGUUAUCGCUUGAUCAUUAUGGUGUAUGGAGUCUUGGCCUGUUUUCUCGGAUAUGGAAUGCUAUGCGUGGGCAUGAGGUCUCGGCCUCAAUUACUCCAAGCUUGUCCCUUUACUUGAACGAUUGCCAUGCUCGUCUUGAUCUUCCCGACCAAGGCCUCGUAAUGGGGUUUACUGGACGAGGGUUGCUCAUACGGGUUAUGGCAUCGAAGAGGAAUGU
rnacentral:misc_RNA from 1 species